ACAGAAUCAAUUCCUGAAUUAUCCCCAGAUUACAAUCUUACAAAUCGAUUUUCACUACGCCAUGACGUCAGAAGUGAAGCGACGUAUUGUCAUGAACGAGAACGCAAGGGCGGGAGAAAAUAAAAUGCAUAGAAUCCAUAAGAAAACCGGAAGAUGAAGGAUGUUAUGUCUUUCCUCCAGAAUAUCAAGCAAGAGAUCAUCAUCCGCGUUUAUUCAGUUUAUCGAUAGUGAAGAAAGCCGCAAACAGCUUAACAAAGGUAGGCCAUUACAGAAACAUUUCAGUCACGAUAGAUGACGCGACAGCAGCGUCAUACAUCGAUACAAGUUUAAACUUCGAGUUUCGAGAUAUUUACUUAGAAGAAUCGGAGAUCAUUCCCAUAAGAAAAAUAAACACCGAAACCGAAAAGCCCAAUCUUCAAAUAGAAGCAUUAUUAGAGAUCUUCCGGAAACAAAACAUGCAUGAGAGGUAAGGCACGGACUUUGAAAUAAAACAAUUUGAUGGAACGCAAAGAGCCACAGAUUGGAUAUUAGAGUAAGAAACGGAAUGCCAAAGAUACGAAAUUCAAAACGACGAAAAAAAGGAUCAAGAAUUUGAAGAAAUAUUUGGGAAAAACAGCAUCAGAAUGGUACCAGACAAAUCUGCUGAAUGAUGAAGAAUACAACUGGGAAAAUUGGAAGGCGGUUCAUUCACCAAAUAUGCCAUAAAACAGGACCGAUUAAUAUUGGAAGUAAUGAGGAAGACCUCCGAUGAGACAAGGACAAAUGUAAUUGUUAGUCGAUUACCCAUACACAUUCAAGAUAAAGUCUAUAAAGAAGCAGUACAAUCAACAGGUGAUCUAAUCAGACUCUUGUUGCAAUACAAAGACCACAGGAAAGGAAGAAAAAGUCAAGAGAGUAAUGCAAGAUUGAACAGAAAGCCAGAGCCGCCACGCAAGAAUCUACCGUGUGUGCUUUGUGAAGCACUGAAUUUCCCAGGCCUAUUCUACCCAAUGCAAAAAGUAAUGAAUGCAAUAACAGCAGAUGAGAAUGGAAAAAACUAAAAUGCCCGGAAAAAUACGAAUCUCUGAUAAAGCUCCGAGUUAAAAUCAACGACCAGAAAGAGGUUGAAGGCUCCAAAAAAUCAUUGACCAAAUAAAGGCAGAUAUAAUAAAAGACAAGAGUAUGUUUAAGACUAUCAGUGGGAAGGACUUCACUAAUAGCUGGGCGAAACUUAGAAUGAAAAUUAAUAAAAUAGGGAAAGAAAUAAAUGUUUAUAUAGUGCAUAAUGAUAACUUCACAUAUGAUCUCAUCUUAGGACUGGACGCCAUAAGGGAGUUCAAGUUGAAAUAAGAUGAGAAUUUGAGAGUUAGUCAAAAAGUAGACAAAAAAGAAGAAAUAAUCAGAGAAGAAAGAUAAACGUUACCAAAUACAAGAAGAUGGACAACCUAGGUCACCUAAAUCACCUAUAAAAAAAAGAGAUGCAAGUGGAGAGGGCUUAGGGGCAGUUUUAAACCAAACCUCGAGGCAACGGGAUAUUACACCCAGCCGCGUACUUUUCAAGAAAAUUGAAACCAACAGAGAUCAUAAACCAUUGGAAUCAAUGAGAAUCAAGGCAAGAACCUAUGAAACCUUAGGAGACCUGAUGCACUACUUGUCGCAGUACUACUUCAAGAUCAUGCUCCAGGAAAACACAACAUGGAGGCAGACACACUAUCCAUGAACCCCAUCUUAGAAAGCUUUGAGAAUGAGGAAGAUGUUUUCAAAGUAGCAAAUAUUAUAAAAAAACAAGACAUAAUCCAAGACCAAGAAGAAAACAGAGAAGAUAUUAAAAAUACAAAAGACCUUAUAAAAGAUCAGAGAUUUUUUUUGUAAAUAUUAAAGGACGCCAACCUAUAUUCAUUUCACAAGAGUUUGGUGAACAUAAAACAUAAGGAAGGUUCAUGAUUUCUUUGGUCACACUGGAAGAAACCAUAUACUGAAGAAAAUCCGACCCUUUUAUUAUUUCAAAAAGAUGGACCGAAUUGUAGACAAAUUCUGCAAACAUUGCGAAAUCCGCAUCAAGAAUAAAAGAAGAACGAGAAGACCGAUCGGGUUUAUGUCGAAACUAGGACCAAAUAAUGUCACUCGAUACGGUCGGAGAUUUUUCCAAUAACAACUCACCAAAGAAAUAAAUGCACAUACUCAUCGAUCAUAUUUCAAGGGCUGUUUUUACGUUUACAUCGAAAACACAACGCUCAGAAGAUAUCAUAAAACUCAUAGACUCGACAGGGGAAACUGAUUCCAUAAAACCCAGUAAUAACAUCCAAAGAAAUUGAAGAGUAUGCGAGAAAAAGGAACAUUAAAUUUAUUUCACCUAGACAGACUGCCCAUCCUCCAAUGGACUGAACGAAAGGGUAAAUCGAACAUUAGUAAACAGGACCAGAUGUAAGAUCAAUUCAGACAAAAAUAAAAGAAACUGGACAAAGAUCGCAGAAGAAAGCGUAGAAGAAUACAAUAACACCAGACAUAGUUUAACGGGAUUUGCCCUAAAUCAUUUACUGUAUGGAAAAAAGAUCGAAAUCGUCCCUAAGGAAAUAAUGGAAAAUAAGAUAAACUUAAAAAGAGACAGAUAAGAAGCAUUCAAAAACUCGACAAGAAAUUUCGAAAUCGACAAACAAAAAUACGAUAAAAAAAGAGAACACGAAUUUAAAAUCGGUGAUAUGGUCUUCAUCCACAACGGAAACAAAAUGAAUAGGAAUAAGCUGGAAUAAAUUAGGAAAGGACCUUUCAAAAUACUAAGAGGGAUUUCAAACUCCAUAUACGAAGUGGAUAACGAUAAUCGGAGAUCUGAAGGGAAUCUCUUCCACUCGAACUACAGAAUCGAUCCCUGAAUUAUCCCCAGAUUACGAUCUUACAAAUCGAUUUUCACUACGCCAUGACGUCAGAAGUGAAGCUACGUAUUGUCAUGAACGUGAACGCAAGGGGGGGGAGAAAGUGGAAUGCAUAGAAUCCAUAAGAAAACCAGAAGAUGAAGGAUGUUAUGUCUUUCCUCCAGAAUAUCAAGCAAGAGAUCAUCAUCCGCGUUUAUUCAGUUUAUCGAUAGUGAAGAAAGCCGCAAACAGCUUAACGAAGAAGAAUCGGAGAUCAUCCCCACAAGAAAAAUAAUGACCGAAACCGAAAAACCCAAUCUUCAAAUAGAAGCAUUAUUAGAGAUCUUCCGGAAACAAAACAUGCAUGAGAGGUAAGGCACGGACUUUGACAUAAAACAAUUUGAUGGAAUGCAAAAAGUCACAGAUUGGAUAUUAGAGUAAGAAACGGAAUGCGAAAGAUACGAAAUCCAAAACGACGAAAAAAGGAUCAAGAAUUUGAAGAAAUAUUUGGGAAAAACAGCAUCAGAAUGGUACCAGACAAAUCUGCUGAAUGAUGAAGAAUACAAGUGGGAAAACUGGAAGGCGGUUCAUUCACCAAAUAUGCCAUAAAACAGGACCGAUUAAUAUUGGAAGUAAGGAGGAAGACCUCCGAUGAGACAAGGAUAAAUGUAAUUGUUAUUCGAUUACCCAUACACAUUCAAGAUAAAGUCUAUAAAGAAGCAGUACAAUCAACAGGUGAUCUAAUCGGACUCUUGUUGCAAUACAAAGACCACAGGAAAGGAAGAAAAAGUCAAGAGAGUAAUGCAAGAUUGAACAGAAUGCCAGAGCCACCACGCAAGGAUCUACCGUGUGUGCUUUGUGAAGCACUGAAUUUCCCAGGCCAAUGUUACCCAAUACAAGUAUGCAGAAACAGAAACAGAAAUGCACAGAGGAACCAAAACCAGAUCAUAAACCAUUGGAAUGAAUGAGAAUCAAGGCAAGGACCUAUGAAACCUUAGGAGAGCUGAUGCACUACUUGUCGCAGUACGACUUCAAGAUCAUCUAUGCUCCAGGAAAACACAACAUGGAGGCAGACGCACUAUCCAUGAACCCCGUCUUAGAAAGCUUUGAGAAUGAGGAAGAUGUUUUGAAAGUAGCAAAUAUUAUAAAAA
rnacentral:lncRNA from 1 species